rnacentral:rRNA from 1 species
GAGGUCCAGCCUGCCCAGUGACUAUUUAACGGCCGCGGUAUCCUAACCGUGCGAAGGUAGCGUAAUCACUUGUCUUCUAAAUAAAGACUUGUAUGAAAGGCAUCACGAGGGCUUAACUGUCUCCUUUCUCCAAUCAGUGAACCUAAUCUCCCCGUGAAGAAGCGGGGAUAACUAUAUUAGACGAGAAGACCCUAUGGAGCUUUAAAUAAUUAUAUAUUUUUGGUUGGGGUGACCGCGGAGAAUAAACCAUCCUCCACAAUGAAACAAGCCACAACUUUACCCAUCAAUAAAUUGACUCUCAUGACCCAAUAUUUGAUCAACGAACCAAGUUACCCUAGGGAUAACAGCGCAAUCCACUUUAAGAGCUCCUAUCGACAAGUGGGCUUACGACCUCGAUGUUGGAUCAGGGUAUCCUAGUGGUGCAGCCGCUACUAAAGGU